CAGUAGGGAAUCUUCGGCAAUGGGGGCAACCCUGACCGAGCAACGCCGCGUGAGUGAAGAAGGUUUUCGGAUCGUAAAGCUCUGUUGUAAGAGAAGAACGUGUGUGAGAGUGGAAAGUUCACACAGUGACGGUAACUUACCAGAAAGGGACGGCUAACUACGUGCCAC
rnacentral:rRNA from 1 species